rnacentral:ncRNA from 1 species
UAAAAGUUUUAUUUUGGCUUAAAAAGUUUAUUAUAAAUUUAUUUUACAUGUAAAUUUUUGUAUGAAUUUAUUUAAUUCUAAAAGAAUUAAUAUAAAUUAAAUUCGCAGUGAAUUUUAUUAAUAAUUAGAUUAGUCUAGAAUUAGUAAUAAUAUUAAGUAUUGGCUAAAUUUGUGCCAGCAGCUGCGGUUAGACAAAAAAUGCUAAUAAAUUUUUUUUAAUAUAAGUUAAAUUAAUAAAAUAAAAUUUAGUUAAAUAAGAAAAAAUUAGGUGAAAUUUAUGUUUUCUUUUUACUAAUGUCUUGUAUAAUUGAAUCUUAAAAAUUUUUUAAAUAAACUAGGAUUAGAUACCCUAUUAUUAAAAAUGUAUUUUGUUGUUAUUAGAGUAGUAGUAGUUAAGUUCUUGAAACUUAAAAAAUUUGGCGGUAUUUUAGUCUAUUCAGAGGAACCUGUGGUAUAAUCGAUAAUCCACGUUGGACCUUACUUAAUUUUGUAUAUUUUUAAGGAAAAUAACAAUUUGUAUACCGCUGUUUUUGAAAAUUUUAUAAGAAUAAUAAUUUUCAGAAUUUUUUAUAAAAAAAAUAAAUCAGGUCAAGGUGCAGUUUAUAAUUAAGUAUUUCAUGGGUUACAAUAAAUUUAUUUAAACGGAUUAAUUUAUGUAAUUUAGUUAUGAAGGAGGAUUUGAAAGUAAAUUUUUAUAGAUAAAAGAGUUGAUUAUAGCUCUAAAAUAUGUACACAUCGCCCGUCACUCUUGUUUUAAUAUAAGAUAAGUCGUAACAAAGUAGGGGUACCGGAAGGUGCCUCUAGAAGAAC